CCCGCUGUCAGCCCCGGAACUGGAACUAGACCAGGCCGGAGAGAACAGCGUGGCCAACUGGAGAUCUAAGUACAUCAGCCUGAGUGAGAAGCAGUGGAAGGACAACGUGAACCUCGCCUGGAGCAUCUCUCCCUACCUAGCCGUGCAGCUGCCUGCCAGGUUUAAGAACACAGAAGCCAUUGGGAACGAAGUGACCCGUCUCGUUCGGUUGGACCCGGGAGCCGUUAGUGAUGUGCCUGAAGCAAUCAAGGUAGUGUAGCCCACGUACCAGGGCCUGAGUUCAAACUGCACAAAAUAGCACACUGCACCCAGAAAUGCCUGAAACUAGAAAUGAGACAAAAACAGCCGCUUGGCAACUUCAGUGCUAUUCAUGGUUUUUCUGAUUUCCUGUGUUUUCUAUUUCUUGUCUGUAGCAUUUAUUUUGUUCACAGUAGAAAAAAAUGUAAUGCACUUCA
rnacentral:lncRNA from 1 species